AAAAGCAGCCCAAAGAGAUCAUUGGCAAUUUGUUUAAAUAAUUACAUUAAUUGAUUUGCUGCAAAAUCUUAAUUCUUGCAUUCAAAAUGUAGCCACAAUUUGCUGUGGUCAGUUCUGAAAGUUUAUAUAAGUAAUGAUUGACUAUGCCUUCUAGACAGUUAUCUUUUACAUCGGCUACAUGAAGAAAUUUAAUGAAUAUGCUAAACCAAAACAUCUGGUAUGAAAUUGUCAGUUUAUCCUGAAUUCAUUUUUAGUCACCUUGCCUCAACCCCUGCAAAGUGUGUGUCAUCUAAAGUUGCCAAGCUAUUGUUCAGUUAAGAAAUUUAACAAUCUGUCAGCAUGCCAGGAAUCCAAGCACCUAUUUUAACGUGUGCCAAGAAGGAAAGAAAUCCAUCAAAUCUUCAGAUUAUUAUUGGGGACACUGAGUUUAGCAAGCAGCUCUUUUUAAGAUGAGAUAAUCCCUUUAGCAGGAUUGGAAAAUUGGUGUACAGUAUAUGUGUAUUCCAAGUUACCUAUUUGUUUUCUAUACACUGAGUCCUUUAUAUUUCGUCUCUUUCUAUUUAAGUAUAACCAAUCUUUUAAGCAUUAAGUAUAGAAAUGAAAGUUUUAUUUAUAAAAACUAUUUUAAUCUUAAAAUAAUAGAAAUUUAGCAUGUUCAGCUCGGAUAUUUGGAAUGGAAUCAUAAAUGCAAUUGCUGGAUAGUAGACUCUACUGAAAUCAGGGGAAAGAUGGCUGAGAAAGAAUAUUUGUUUGUUGAUUUGUUUAUUUUAAUUUAUUGGCUUGUCAACUUCAAUGGACUCUGGGGAAAUAAAUAUAUAAUAUUAAGUUGUACAUCCUUAACAUUUUGUCUUUAAUCUGAACCUGAAUCUUUUGAAGGGCAGGACCCUGGUCUGAGAGAAAAGUAAUUGAGGAAUUUGAACUCUUUGAUGUCCUGUAUGCAAAUUUACAUAAUGACCUUGGGCUUCUCUUCAUCUGUUUUUCUUUUAAUGGAGAUGAUGAUAUACAGUUGAUCUGUGAUGGUCUGUACAAAUUUGAGAGAACCUUGUGUGAAACCCCAGGUAACACUUUAAGAAAUGAAACUCAGUGUUCCUCUUCCAGCACUUGAAGCCUAACAAAACACUCUGUACAAGUACAGCUGCUCCAUGUGAACAAUUCUCUAGAAGUUAUUGACAAGAAAAUACACUUUGACAAGCUGUGCUUUAUUACCUUAAAGCCCUGGAAAGAUAAUGUUCUUAGUUUAAUCAUAUCAGUAGCAGUUUAUUAUAGACCGAUCAAUAAACAGUUUAUUAGUCAGCAAAGAAACAAAAUGAUAAGGACUAGCUUGGUGUAACUGGUUCACAUGCUUGUUGCCUUCCAAAUAUGGUGGUUAAAGUAAGCCUGGAAAGUACCAGGCUGGAAAAAAUGAAGCAAAACAGCUUUUCCUGGAUUAAGGGGUUACAUUGCUUUCCAGUGUCAGCACUCAGCAAGAUAUAAAGGCAGGACAAAACUCAGUAUGAAUUAAUUUGAAUGUACAUUAAAUUGAAUUCAUUAAAUUGAAUACAUUGUUAAUAGGAUUAUUUUCCAACUAUUUAAGCAUUCCCUCCUUCGGUUUUAUUCAAUAUUACAAUUUCGUUUUAGAGGGAGUCUAGGAGUUGCAUAGGGCUUUGAGAACUGUAUGUGGUUCUCAAGCAACUUGUUAUGGAACUAUUAAAGGGGUUGGUUUUGGUGUUGCCCAAAUGUAAGCAAUAGGCAAAUAUAUUCCCUGGAAUUUAUUUUACUCUUUACAAAAUGCAGUCCAUUUUUCUUUUCUUUACUGAUUUUGUUUCCGCUUCCUUUCCCUUUUUAGGUUGCUUGAAAGUUUCUGUGAAUGAUCACUCCACCGUAAUUAUGGUUUUUGCAGAAGGAGUAGGAUAGUGGUGCAUGGUUAUGUUGCAGCAGAGGAUGAGCAAAGGAUUGCUAUCAUCACAGAGCUGGGAGGCAUAAGGUGGAACCCUCAGAAGUUCUGCAACUUGGAAGAUAAUUUGUGACCUAUUUGGCCUGAGGUCUUCUGAGAGUACAACCAAGUAAACAAACCAAUGGAUCAUUGAACAAAUCAACCCAGAAAUUUUGUUUGAGGCACGAAUGGCAGGUUCAUAUUAUCCUACUUCAGGCACAUUAUGUGAAGUCCGAGGUCUCUGAAAAAGGCUCUAAUGUUGGGAAAGGUGAAAGGAAAGAGAAGAAGAGCAAAGUGACGGACUCAAAGUGGUGAUGGUGGCACCAUUGGAAGACUUGAAAGAACAGGUUGGGGAUAUGUCAUCAUGGAGUAAAAACCCAACUAUGUGGUCACUGGGUCACCUACAUGGUUGUCCACCCACAGGUUGCUCCUGCAAUGAGAUCAUAGUGAUCUCUAAUGGGUUUGAGAGGCCUGGAAGCUGGAGGAAAAUCAUCCUUAGUCGUGGUUCAGCACCUUCAAGAAGACACCGGAUUCUGUUGUUGACUAGAAUGUUAUUUCUGGAAAGUUAAGGGGCUAAAAUGGACAUGAAAAAUAUUUUCUGUGAGGUAUUUAAAAUGUUAUAAAAAUUUAUGAAGAUUUUGAAAUUAACUGAGAAAUCCACCAAUGGGAAAGUUUUGAUGAUUGGAAAGUAAACAUAUGAUGUGAGAAGACUUUGAAUGAUUAGAACAACCAGAAAGAAUUAAAGAUUACAAUUAAAGAACAAGAAAGCCAUAAAUACAAUGGAGCAAUAUUAUUUGACUAUAGAAGAAAUUAAGUUUAGGAACAAUGUACUCGGAAAUUACUUACUUGUCUGAUAUUAUAAAAAUGGAUUUAACACGGGAUAUGGGAGAACAGAUUUUACUAGAUAAAACAGAGAAUGGGAUUGAUUUGAAUGUGAAUUUGAAAAUGAAUUUUUUUAAAAUGCCAUGUUUGAUAUGGAAAAAGAUGCUGUGGAUUUGAAAAUAGAUUUUAAAAUGUCAGGCUACUAGAAUGAUGCCAGAAUGGAUUUCCAGUUGAAACCCACUGAUGUCUUAAUAACUAAAGGGGAUAUGCAAAUAAGAAGAAUUACUGAAUUUAUUUUUUUUUUGAAUUUAUAAAAGGUAUGUGUUUAACUACUGAAGCUGUUCCCAAAAUAAGAAAAAGAUAAAAUGAUAACAAAUCAACUUGUGUGACAUUACCAAAGAUUAAAGACCAAGGUUUUUCAAAGAGGAGGAAUAUAAAAUGAACUUAUUUGACCAGGGUUAUGUAUAAUGGUUUCUGGUUAUAAUUAUGGAAUUUCUUUUUGACCAGGGUUUUAAAGAUCUGUUUAUAAAUGGGGAGAUAUUCCUUUUGCUUUAUCUCUUAGAGAGAGUGAUACAUUAGAAUACAAACUG